AAAGAGAGAACUUUGUGAGUGUUAGACUUAUGAAGAUUAGGUGGUUAGGGAUACAUGUCUAUAUUGUAGAGUUUUGUAGGUCUAUUUUUUUUGUCUUGUUUUUAUCUAAUGUGAGCUUAUUCUGCAAACUAAUCUUAUUUUUUGAGUUUAUUCUGCAAACUAGUUUGUUUGUGUAAGUUAUUUCAGGUAUCAUUGACGAAUCAGGAAAGGCAAAAUGAGCAACUGAAAAGAGUAGCUUCGCUACAAGUAAGAAAGUUUCUACAACAAAGGCUUAUUCUUUUGUAUGAUCCAAGACUUUAGGCUAUGAAGAUUAGUUAUUUUAUUGUAUGUAAUACAGGUUAUGUAUGUUUUGUAUAAUGAAUGUUUUUGAUAAUUUAUGCAAUAAAAAAAAAAUUAUAUAAAUCCAAUUGAAUAAAUAUUGCAAAACAGGGAUCAAAUAUACAAAUUAUAUAUAAAUCAAAUUAAAUUUAUAAAACAAAAAACAAAUGCUACAAUACUAUAUAAUACAACAUUAAAUGUGUGUUACAAUAAAGUAUAUAAUAGCAUUCGAUUAGCACUAUAAUAGAUCGACAUUUCAUAGCAUAUCGACAACCGCUAUCGUAUGUGGGGGUCUAUAAUAACUGGGGCAGAAACAGCGUUUAUGAAAACGCUAUUAAUGACAUAUUAUAGCUUUUCUCUCAUGCUAAUAAUGUAGAUUUUUCUUGUAGUGGUAAAUGCUCCAUCAACCAUAUGUGCAUUAAAUAUAAAUCGAUCUUAUCCAUCAAUAAAAUCGAUGAAACCAUUAAAGGUAAAACUAUUUUGGAUAAAUUUUUGAUGUAUAUUCAUAAUUCAGUUAUAAACAUUACGAAUUUGUUUUUUUGUUUUGAGGAUUUUUUAUAUUAUCAAGUAAAGUUACAUGAUGUGGAUAUAGACCAUCUCAUAUUGUCACAAUUUUGUUUCUAUCUUACCCACAUUAAAAUUAGAAAGUGUUAUACACUCUUCCGAUGGAUAUAGAUAAAUUAUUAAAAUUCAAUAAUACACAUAUAAACAUUUAUUAAAUAUCAUACUGUAACAUAUAAUAAACAAAACUACAAAAAGUAUUUUAUAUUACACAUUAUGCAUAAUUAAUCUAUAUUUAACAAAUCAUUAAAAUACUACAUUUUCUAAAAUUAAAACAUAUUUUUAUAUAAUUUUAGUUUAACUUACAAAAAUAAAAAUUGAAAAUAACAAUUUCGAUCGGUAACCCGUGCGUUGCACGGGUCUAUAUCUAGUUAUUCUAUAAACAAGAAAUUAUUAUAUCAAACUCGUUGCAUGUAUUACACAACACAUCAUGCGUCUAAGAUUCACAUAGUCAACUCUUCUAACUUCUAAGCCUGAACGAGAAUGAAUAUGGUUUCAAGAAACCAUAUCAGCCGAUGUAUUAUGAUUUAUGACGAAGGCCUAAAGGUAAAAAGAAAAACUUAGUAUUAUAAUUGUUAGUAAAUCUCAUAUUUAAUUCCAUUCAUUGAAAAUACUAAACUAAGACACAAAUGUGGAUUUGGUUUUUAUAAUAGGAGAGAAGAGAGGUAUUGAAUGAGAAAAUCGGCGAACUCAAUUCAGCCAUUGACAUUUGUCGCUUCGAAGCGGUAUAAACAAGAUGUUAAUGAAUACCCUGCGAAAUAUAUGAAAACAAAAUCAAUUUACAAAAAUUACCCGCAGCAUAGCGGCAAACCAAAUGUUAUUGAUUAAUUGAUUAUUAUUAGUGAUCUAUUAAUUUAUAUUUUGAAUAAACGUGAUCUCACUCUAACUCAAAAGACUUGAUCUUCUAUGUUCCAAAACCUAUUGGUGGAUAUAAUAUCGUAGAAAGACAAGGAGAAUCUGGGAUUCCAAAGAAAAUUUUCGACCGCUUGACUUCUAUUUUUUUUUUCUCUGGCGACCAAGUAAUGGAGAAACUGAUAAGUGAAUCUCAAGAAAUAUAUAUUUGUAAACUUAUGGUCAAUGAUGCAAAAAGUGAAACUUGAAUAGUUGUGAUCAUUGAUGUAAAGUUAUUUGGAUCACAGGUAGGUUGUGUUUUACAAACAAAGUGUUUUUCACUAAAUCCAUUCUUAAAGCUCCAUGCCUCCAUCAUAUAUGGAAGAUUUUGAGGAGAGAUCUUAGGGCAAAAUUAGCAAAUGGGUUGUGAUGAUUUAAACCAAAAAGCAAAUUAAAAGAUGGUUUCAAUGUGUAUAUUCAAUAUACAUACAAAUUUUUGACCCCAAAAGGAAACAAAAUCAUACGAACCAUUGUGUUUUAUACCAAGCCCGACCCUUCACACAUUUUAGUGAAACAUUUGUAUUGGGCCUCGAAAAUUUGAGGCCCAUUUUGUGAGGAUUUCUUUUUUUCUUAGGCCCUAUGAUUAGUAAAAUAGGUUUCAAAAUUAGUAAAAUAAGCUUCAAAAUUAACAAAAGGCCCUAUAAUUAGCAAAAAGGUCUCAUACUUAGCAAAAAAUCCUAUUAUUAGCAAGCAAUGUCCAAAUAUUAAGAAAAAUUGUUAAAUAAAAAUUAUAAAUGCCCCAUAAUUAGCAAAAAAUAUAUUUUUAUCAGUUUUUACAUUUUAAAAAGGUCUCAAAUUCUGUAUUCGGCCCCGGAUUUUACCGGACCAGAUUUAGUUGUUAUUGUGUUAUUGUUGGUCUUGCUUGAUUCAUGUAAUGAGCGUUUGUGAUGAAGGUGGUUUCUUUUUUGGUUUCAUGUAACUCGUGCUGGAGAAAACAACAGACUUUUUUUCAUAAAAUAAAAGACUUAGAAACUACCAUUUAACUAUCCUUCUAAUAGUGAUAGUAUGAAGAAAAUCCUUAGUGAUCGGCUUUAAAUGAUGAAUGAGAGUUAUCUAGUGGCAAAUUUAUGGUUAUGAGAUGUUCUCAUACUCGACCAAAACUAUGAACAUUUCAAAUAAGCUUAUAUCAAUAAAAUCCAAUAGAGAAUUAUAUGUGUAAAAUAUUAAAGGUGCAAAAUGAUUCGGUCCUCCAUAUAAAAUCCGGAGCCAAAUACGAAAAAAAAAAUUUGGGUCUUUUUAAAACACAUAAGCUUUACAGGAAAUUCUAUAAAUCAAGACAAACUUAGCUCAAAUCAAAUGAGCCAAUAAAGUAAACAAAGCGAGAGCUCGAGACUAAUUAUCAUCUCUUUUCUCUUUCAGUCUCCGAGAUAAAUAUUAAUGAAAAGAUGCUGCUCAAAACAGCGUCAGGUAAGCAUUGCAAUAAAGCCACUAAUCUUUUUAACUUUUAAAAAUAAACAUGUGUAAUGGAGCAUGUUUAUAAACUAUAUAAGAUUAGGUGAGUAAUUUUUUUUGUGGUUUGAAUUUGGAAUUUAACACACAGUUUAAGAAAAAUACCAUGCUACAAAAUGUUAAGGUUAUCAGUUAAUGUUAAGAAUCUAUGCUUCAGUUUCGAGCAAUCUAAUUUUUAUUUUUCAUGGCAUAUUCUCUAUUAAUAAUCUAAUUUUUAUUUUUCAUGGCAUAUUCUCUAUUAAUAAUAUAAUAUUUCUACGAUUUUGAUUCUUUGUUUGUUACGAUUUUGUUUAAUACAAAUGCGGGCUUAUGUAUAUGUUUUCCUAUAAAUAAAGUAUUUUCCUUACUCCUAAGACAUUUACUACCAAAAUUUUGGAGCAUCCGUUGGGGUAAAUAUUUUGUAUUAUUAAUUUUUCACAUGAUACAUUUAUUAGUUCUCUCAUUGAAGGAUCUAUAUAGUAUAUAUUUUCGGAGACAUUUUUGAAAUAAAUCCUGCAGUUGGCACUUAUUUACAUUGUAAUGCCACCGUCAUUAAUUUUUAAAAUUUAUUUCUUUAAUUAAAUAUAUGUAAAUCUAAGGGCAAUUUAUACAAAUGGCACUAAAAAGGUAUAUUAUUCCAAAAAUGGCACUUUCUUUUGAAACUUCCAAAAAUAGCACACAAAGUUUAGAAAAUACACAAACCUACCUAAUUUCAUUUCUUCCAAACCCGACGACUUCCAAAAACAUGUCGCUUUCGACGACUCCGUCGCUCACCGGAUCUGAUUUCUUUACCGGAGAUUCGAAGACUUUGCCGGAGAUCCGCAGUUUCGUCGGAUUCAUUAGGCGUUAUCUCAUCCGACGCCGAUUGUGCAGGAAAAUUGGAUUCAUUAGGCGCCUCCGCCGGAAUCUGGAACGUCUCUGCUGGAAUCCUCUUUACUCCGGCACCAGCACUCUUGCUCUGGUAAACUAAACUAUCUCUCUCUCUCCCCCGAUCAAUUUCUCGAUUCGUAUCCUUGACUUGUCUUUUUUUUUUGUAUCGAUUUAGGUUGCUCGUGCUUCGGCUUUUGGGUUGGUUCUUAUCUAUCGCAACAUCAAGCUCAAGGCUUUGAAGGUACAUCUCUAUCCUCCUUGUCUUGUUUUUAUCAGAUCCUGAAGAGCUUCAAAGUAAUGGAUUUCUGCAAAUUGUUACUCUUGUUAACCCGAUUUAGCUGUGUCUUGUUAAAUUUGGAAUCUUUAUCUCGUUUAUGAAUGAUUUGAUUCUGGGUUACUUUGAAUGUAGUUCUCUUUUUUUUGAAUGAAUCUAAUGUCAGCAGAAUGCUUUGAGUUUUUGACGCAUGUGUUGUUUAUAGAUUUUGUUGCAUUCAAGAUGAUCUAUUGAAGAUUUUUGUGAUCUAUUGGACUGAUACAUUACAAGCUAAGACAGUUUAAGACUAAGACUGUUAUGUUUAAGACUAAUACAAUUUAAGACUAAGACUGUUUAAGACUAAGACAAUAUAAGAUUAGUUUAUCACUUUAGAUGAGUUUAGUUUUUGUCACAAUUUGAGAGAUAUAUCGUCACAUAGUUAUAGAUUCAAGUUUGUGAUAUGAAGAUAUGAAUAAACAUUCUUUACUUGUUUUUGUAGUGUUAUUGUCUGUUCUCUUUGCUUGAUAGAGUUGUUUUAGUUUGCAUUCUAGAAUGGUCUUCCUGAUUCGGGAAGGUCUUCCUAAUUCGGGAAGGACUUAUAGUAAUUCGGGAAGGUCUUCCUGAAUAUUUAUGUUUACUGAUUUCCUUUAAUUUUAGUUGCAGGAAAAUGGGAGAUUCGUUUCCAACAGAUGUCAAACUGCCAACGCUUCUGUACAAUAUAGGACAGGAGCCAAAUUCAAAUGAUGGGAUAAAUCAAUGUGCAAGAUAUGAGUAUAUCGAUAAAGUACAACGCAUCUUCUCUGCUACAGAGUUUCAGAAAAUCAGAGAAUUGAAGAUUUCUCCAAGCUGCGUGAUAUAGAUUCAGAAGACAUCAGAAACAAGUUCGUUGUGGAUAUCUUCAAUGAGUGUGUUAAGAUUUCUUAGGACCAUCUUUCUUUAUUGGAUGUAUGAUGCUUGUGAAACCGUUUUAGACUGUUUUGGUACUUCUAUGAUGGUUCUGAACUAGAAAAGUAUCAUCUGUUUCUAUUUAUAUUUUUUUUAGAUAUUCAAUGUAUGGUAUUUUGUCAGAUACCAUAUGUUUCGUACAGAUUAUCCACUCAGUUGUAUGCUCUCAGCAUAUCCUUUGCAUCUUAACUGUGCAAUUUGUGAAUGAUUUGAGGCAAAUUACGCAAAAGUAAAUAAUUUUUGAAAUUCAUGAAGGGUUUUCAAAUAUUCAGGAAGGAUAUAUACAUAUUCAGGAAGGUCUUCCCUAACAAAAAGCUGUAAUAAUUACUUCCACCAAGAUUCAAAACCGGGACCUAUUGUUUUUGUAAUAGAACAUGUAACCAGUGAGCCAAGCUUCUAAUUAUAAGAUCUUAUACAAACGAACGUUUAUAUUUCUAUGAAACACGAAACACAUCAUGACAUAAAAAGAGAUUUUAUAACUUCGCAGUAGCUUGCCUAUGAUUUUCAUUUCUGUGUGUAGUGUCACAUGUGUGCUCAUGACAAUACUUUUCACCACAAAGAAAUCACAAGAGUCUACCCUUAUUGCACGCAUCCUCCAAGUACAUUUAUCAUCUACAGAUACCAAAACCACUCUCUCUUUAUUAGACCAUCGAUACCUAAACUCAAACUUAUACUCCAACUCCCAUGUCCUCAUCUUCUGCAUUAACUCAGCCUUGUUCAUGAAAUAUUUAUUAACAUAUAUAUCAUCAGCACCUUGUGUUGAAUGUACACCGCCUAUAGGAAUCGGACUACGAUCAUGAGCAGGAAGCAAAUCCAAUGACUUAUUGCCUAUUCCCUUUUCAACCGUUGAACAUGUAUCAUUAUAUGGCACAGAGAUGGAAGAAAUUCCGACUGUUGGAUGAGGUUCCUACAAACGCAAAAAUAGAUAGGCAUAUGAACAAAGAGGUAAAAUUGAAAAAAGGACGACUAGAAACGGAUCAUAUCUGUAUAUUGUAGUAUUUAGGAAGGUCAUCCUAAAACUAAAUGUAUCCUUCCUAAAACCUAUGAAAUUGAGUUUUUACCUUCUGGUUUUCAUGUGCAGUAGAGAUAAAAGAAGUUUCAACUGAAAGGUGAGGUUCCUACAAACACAAAAAUAGAUAGGCAUAUGAAAAAGAGUUAAAAUUUAAAAAAGACGACUAGAAACUGAUCAUAUCUGUAUAUUGCAGUAUUUAGGAAGGUCAUCCUAAACCUAAAUGUAUCCUUCCUAAAACCUAUGAAAUUGAGUUUUUACCUUCUGGUUUUCAUGUGCAGCAGAGAUAGAAGAAGUUCCAACUAAAGGAUGAGGUUCUACAAACCCAAAAAUAGAUAGGCAUAUGAAUAAACAGUUCAAAUUGAAAAAAAAAAAAGACGACUAGUUAGGAUCAUAUCUGUAUAUUGCAUUAUUUAGGAAGGUCAUCCUAAAAUUAAAUGUAUCCUUCCUAAACCCUAUGAAAUUGAGAUUUUAACUUCUGAUUUUUAUGUGCAGCCGUUGAAUGUGAACUUCCUAUAGGAAUCACGGUAGAAUCUCGAGCAGGAGGCAAAAAUAAUGAAUAAUUGCCCUGUCCUUUUUCAGGCGUUGAACAUGUAUCACUUUGUGGCACAGAAACUGAGAUGUCCAUUCUAGUGCCUUCUUCAGCCUGCAUAAAUGUCACAUAGAUCCUAACUUAUAAGAUUAAUGGUAAUGCAUGGAGAUAAGAAGUUUUGGUUGCUUACCUCAAGUUCUCCAAGUACCAAAUCGUCAUUUCCUCGCAGAUGCAAACUUCGUCUUCAUCAUCCAAACUUUAAUUCACCAACAAGAUUUAAUCAAAUCCAGAAACCAUAUAAACAAAAAAAAGGACAGGACUAGAGAUCACGAGAUACAAAUCCGUUACAAUCUUAGAUCGACAUAGCUCCAAACACAUGAUCUUUCCUCAAUAAACAAAGCUUGUGGAUUCGUCGGAGAUUUCGCCGAUUUAGCACGAGCGUAAGCUUCUUUGACUGAAUCAUAUAUCAUAUGUUUAUAUCAUCUACCUUAUAUCAUAUGUAAAUCAUCUACAGAUACCAAAACCACUCUCUUUGUUCAGAAUUCGUAAAGCAUCUAUUUAUCAAUAGUUUCCAAUUACAAGUCUCAUCUACUUAAGAUUUCUAAUGCAAUCAAGCCCAACAAUGAAAAAGGUAAGAGAUGAACAAUGACACAUCAGAAUUCUUUAUGCUGAAUCAAUGAACGCACCUAUAAUUUGCCUAAUUCUACAAUAGAAAGCCAUAAUUCAACAAUAAACGCCUAAUUUCGUCAACACGAUUGGGGAAGAAGAAGAAGAAAAAAUUGGUGAAAGAGAUCGAUUUAUACCAGUUUGAAGAUCGAAAAUAGGUGAAGAUUUCUCCGUCGUCGGCAGAUCUCUCCGUCGCCGGCAGCUCUCUCCAUCGCCGACAGCUAUCACGUGAAAUCGUCUCCGUCGCCUUAUCGUGGAUCGUGGAAUGCUUUCUUUUCCUUUUUGUUUAUUAAAUUUAUUAAUUUUUUAAAAAGAGUGCUAUUUUUGUCAAAUAAACUAAGAGGUGCUAUUUUUGUCACAAAAACUUCAUUUAGGGCUAUUGGAGACCAUUUCUCUAAAUCUAAUUCGUUUGCCAAAACUCUGGAGACAAUCUUUCCUAAUAUUUCGACAAUAAUCAUUUAUACUCUAUUUAAAUUAAGAUUUUCAAUUCAAAAUCACUUACCAUAUAUUGCCCUAUAUUAUCAACACAAAAUCGCCCAAACAAAUAUUCAUACCAAGGAAUUUGAAGAAAUUUUUUAAUACUACUAACAGUCGGAAUUCAAAAAAUACAUAUAAUUUUUUUUAAAAAUAAAAAUUAUAAUUUAUAUAUUCAAUAUCAAUAAAUUUUUUAUAAUAUUAUGAAUAUUUGAACAUAUCAACAUUUUAAACUAACACAUGACAGGUUAUAUUACAGGACGAAAUUAUAUGGCGGGACAGAGUUAUAUGGCGGGACGGGUUUGAAUUAAAAUUAAUAAAAUUUUGAAAUAUCAUUAACUCGUCCCUUCAAUACGGGUUAAAUCCUCAUUUUAUGAUUUUGGAAGACCUGUAAUAUUAGACAUAUCGAAUCAGUCUAAUUUAGUUAAAAUUGUAUAAAACAAAAAUUGUUAUGUAGUAUACCGUUACUUAAUGACAAUUAUAAACUAUAAAUUAUAAAUUUCUUAAAAAUGAUACAAUUUGCAAAUUUUUAUAAAUAAUACAUUAAUUAAAAAUUAAAAAUCAUAAAUUUUAGAAAAAAGCAUUCGCGGUGUACCGCGGGUCAAUCCCUAAUUGUUUAUUAUUUCUAGAUACACCUUACAUAGGGAAUUCUACUUCGUAAGAGUUUAUCCAAUCCAAGACUCAAGACUCAUAUGAGAGAAUCAGAUUUUAUCUCGUUUUUCUCAUUACCUUAAUUUUUCUUUUAAUUGCAUUAUUGUCUUAUGUGGAAUUAAGAAUAUAUUUUUCAUUAUUUAACACAAUAUCACUUCACUUUCUUUAUUCACCUCGAGAGACACAUUUGCUUUCUUUACAUUUGGAGAAACGAACUUUCAUGAACUCAACACAUUCAUUUGUAUUCGUUGUUGAAAUAUGGAACUAUAUAUGACGGUUAACAUUUGAUUUAGGUACAUGCUAAAGAAAUGAAGAGGGGAAAGUGUCGUGGGUUCUUGAGUGUCAAUGGUAAUUACGGAUAGACUUACAACGGAAUUGAUGCUAAUAGAGAUGCUUAAUUAAGUCUGCCUUUGACAGAAAAUGUGUUUCUAGAUAGUUUAGGACCUAGAUGUAGAGCUAUAUAUGACUAAAAAGCAUCAUUAUUCUCGAUCUUUUCAUUGUGUCGUUUUCGAGAGUUUAGGUGUAUUAGUAAAAGUUUUUCAUAAAUUUUAAUUUAUGGAUUUCCAUCACAAAAAAUAUAUUUAAGAAUAACAAUACAAACUAUAUAGAUCAAAUGUGACGAUAUUUACUUUCGUAAAAGAAAAUUAAUUUUACAUUUAGAUUAAUAACUAUAUAUAUUAUUCCUUUUAGUAUAAGAAACUAUAAUACAAUUUUAUUCAUAAUCUCUCUUUAUUUUAUUCAUUACAUCAUUCUCUUAUUCUAAAAUAGACACCUAACUCAUUGGAAUGCAAAUAAUUCUACUAUUCUUAUGUUUUAACUCUACCUUGUUAUAUGACUUAAUUUUAGAACUCCAAAAAAAACAAAUUUCUAUUUUGCGGCUAAAACAUAAUUAAUAUGACAAUUUAUCAUUUUUCUCUACUAUUAUAUUAUAUACUAUGUAAGAACCCGUGUCAUGCACAGGUAAAUCUUAUGUUAUUUAAUUUUAUGAAAAAGAUUAAAAUAACACUCAAAUUUUUAAUAUUAAAUCAUGAGAUGUCAAAGCUAAAUUUUGUAGAUGAGCUAAAAUAUUAUAAAUAUCAUGCAAUAACACAACGUUUUAGUCUAUAAAUAAAUUUACAUAUUGAAUUUCAAUAUUUUAAUGACUUUAUAUAUACAAAGAAAAUUGCAUUUUACGUCAUUCAUCUGAUUUUCUGUAAAACCAAACCAGUGAGAUUUUAUCAGGAGGAAGUAGUGCAAUAAAGAAAGAUAUGCAGUUUCUUUUUUCUUUUGGGGAAGGAUCACUCACUUUUGUUUCGAUAAGACGUGUUUCCCACUCAGGCAAAACGAUGAACGGAUUAAACAAAAAAAAAAAAAAAAAAAAAAAAAAAAAACGAUGAACGGAAAAGUCUGCGUCCGUCGCCUUCGGAGGACCGUGACGCUACGAGCUACCACACGAUUAGCGCAACAGAGCCACCACAACGACGACGACGUCGUUUGAAUUUAACAGAUUAUUUGGGCCUGCAGAGCUGUGACCCAAUAAGAUUAUCGGCCCAGUAAACACCCUUUAUUUUAUUUUCUUUCUGUUUAAUUUUCCCAUAUUCGUUUAACGUGCAUCGCAAGGUAUUUUAGGGUUUCACAUUAACAGAUGUGACUCUAAUAGCACUCUUUAUAAUACCAAACUUGUUGAUUUUUUUUUUUCGUUAGAUUGGAACAAACCCAAAUUGUUUACUACUAGGCCGACUUAUUUUAUGUUAUGGAAAUUUAAUUAAAAUGGAAUAUUUAAUAGUUGGAACACUAUAUCCAAAGAUCCGAGCUUUGCGAAGACGCACUUUGGUAAAGCGGCGAGACAGUUAAUUAUGUUGUCUGAAUUUAGGGUUUGGUUGAUGAGUGUAAAAUUCCAAGGAGACUGUGACGAGGACGAGUUGGCCGAUCCAUAUAUGAAGGGUAUAGGUAAGCUUACAAGCCUAAACAAUUUAGAUCAAGUGGAGAUAUCAAAAGUUUUUCACUGCAACGGCUUACUCUUAUGCUUGACCAAGGACAAGACUAGGCUCGUGGUAUGGAACCCGUAUUUGGGACAAACCAGGUCGAUCGAACCUAGAAACGCUUUCCACAGAUUAGACGUGUAUGCUCUAGAAAAACUUGGAAACCCAAAAAAUCUUGAGGUUUGUGGAUCAUUACGAACAUGCUGUUAAGCAUUCUAUUAUAGAACACGAAAUUUUUGAUUUGAAGUCUAACUCAUGGAGGGUUCUUGAUGCCACUCCUGACUGGGAGAUAGAUUCUUAUCAACGUGGCGUGUCUUUAAACGGAAAUACUUAUUUUUUUGCUAAAGAAAAAAUAGUGGUGGAAGGGGAAAGAUGGGUAGUGAUUGAUGAAGAGGUCAAAGAUUUCUUGAUCUGUUUUGAUUUUACAAGUGAGAGAUUUGAACCGCGUCUUCCUCUGCCGUUUUACUCUUACGAUGGAGAGACCGUGACUCUUUCUAGUGUUAGAGAAGACCAGCUUGCAGUGUUAUAUCAGCGGGAUACUUGUUUGAUGGAGAUAUGGGUUACGAAUAAGAUUGAGCCGGAUGUGGUGUCAUGGAGCAAGGUGUUCUUAGCAGUGGAUAUGAAACCACUCACUGGUUCUCAUCAUCCGUUUGCUUUUUACGCUGGGAGUUUCUUCAUUGACGAGGAGAAAAAAAUCGCUGUGGUAUUCGAUAAAGACAAAGAGGAGAUCAACGACAGAGCUUACCUGAUUGGAGAGAAUGGAUACUACAAAGAAGUGGAUCUUGGAUACCUGAAUGGAUACUACCAAACAAGUAGAUCUUAUGAGCCCUAAUACUAUUUACCCUCUCGUGUGCUCCUAUUCUCCGAGUUUGGUGAGGAUCCAGCAAGGUGCACGAGGCAAAAGGAAAGAACAAGAUUAUUAGUACGUAUAUCAUUUGGUUUUUAUUAUGUCAUCUAUUUUAGGUUUUUUUAAACCAGAUAAAUUUGUUUCUAUUUGCUUAACAAAACAGUCUCUGUUGAUGAGUUUGAUUGUUGUCGAAUAAUUUCUCUUUCUUUUUCUAUUUUUUUGAGGUUGUUUUUAAAUUUUCUCCCAAAGACUUAGAGCAUGAGCAGUGGUAGAGACUCGUAGAAUUAAUCUCUCAAAAAUUAUUAUUUUAAUGUUUUUAAUAUAAUUUAAUUGUUGUUUUAAAUUUAAAACUAAAAAGAAAAAGCAAAGCCAUCAAAUUUUGCCAUAUGUAAAAAGAGUUUCUAGAGAGGUUCUCACAUGUUCUCAUUUGAGAAUCGAUUAUCGUUUCUCACUCUUCUUUUUCAUUAUUUUUCUUUUUAAUAUUGUUGAGAGACUUGAUGAGAGACUUCCACUGUGAAUGCUCUUAUUCUUUUCCCACUUGAUAGCCCAUUCCCCAUUUGCUAGUAGUAAUUCCGAUUUUCUGUACAAAGAAAUGUUCGGUAUUUUGAUAUAUACUUAUACUAUAUGAUUAAUAGGUGUAAGCAACUGAAGACAAGAGUCAAGUGUAACUAGAGCAGAGUAGCUUUGGUUUGGAGACCAUAGCAAAAGUUAUCUAAUAUUAAAAAAAAAAACCAAAAAAAAAGAAAUUAUUUUUUUUAGUAAGAACCUUUAUUGUUUUUUCAUUUAUUUUUUUUGUAAAUUAUUAUUUUUCAAUGAAAGUAAUAAAAUAAAAUAUGUGAAUUAAUUUAGAUUUAAUGUUUUUGUUUUAAUAAUAAGAUAGAUGGAGUCCACAAAAAUAAAAAAUGUGAAGACAAUGAUGCAGAUGUGGACACCCUAGAUGGAGUGAGAACUCUCUAAUUAUAUAUAUAUAUAUAUAUAUAUAUAUAUAUAUAUAUAUAUAUAGAUUAUUUGAUUUACUAUAAGAAACUAUAAUACUAUUUUAUUCAUAAUCUCUUUAUUUUAUUCAUUACAUCAUUCUCUUAAUUCUAAAAUAGACACCUAACUCAUUGGAAUGCAAAUAUUUCUACUAUUCUUAUGUUUUAACUCUAUGUUAUUAUUAUAUGACCAAAUUUUAGAACUCCAAAAAAACAAAUUUCUAUUUUGCGGCUAAAACAUAAUUAAUAUGACAGAUUUUAAUUAUAAACAAUUUAUCAUUUUUCUCUACUAUUAUAUAUAUACUAUGUAAGAACCCGUGUCCUGCACGGGUAAAUCUCAUGUAUUUAAUUUUAUGAGAAUAUUAAACCAUGAGAUGUCAAAGCUAAAUUUUGUAAAUGAGCUAAAAUAUUAUAAAUAUCAUGCAAUAACACAACGUUUUAGUCUAUAAAUAAAUUUACAUAUUAAAUUUCAAUAUUUUAAUGACUUUUAUAUAUACAAAGAAAAUUGCAUUUUACGUCAUUCAUAAAUUUAGACUUAUAGAUUUACUAUUUAAAUUUUAAUUUUUGUAAUGUAUAAAAAAAAAUUGUUGAUGUUAAAAAAUGCAUAUCUUAUAUGUUUUUUUUUUUUUUAACUCAGCUUUAUUCCAUUAGAUUGAACCAAUGAAGUCAGUUAACAGAGUAUCAGAAAUACAAAUAGGAAUGAAAUGAUGAUAGAUAAUCGAAACUGUUUCCGAUCUUUGUAUUUUUGCUAGAGUAUCUGCAUGUUGAUUCGUUGUCCUUGGAACCCAGUUAAAUUCAAUAGCAUCAAAUCGCCUUGCCCAACUCUUGACUUCAUGAAUCCAAUUAAGAGCGUCAAACUUCAUGGUCUGUCCUUUAAGAAUCUUCACUAAAUUGCCACAGUCCCCUUCAAAAAUCACUUUCCUGUAACCUUACCUUUAAUCCACAUUUGUUGCAUGGCGAAGAUAAGGCUCUGACAUUCCGCUUCGAAUGCAUUAUUUACCCUCGGGCCUGUAGCUUGACCUGCUCCUUUAAAGACACCGUGUUCAUCACGACUCAACCGUGCCGAUAGGGUUUAUCAAAAAAAAAAAAAAAAAAAAAAUACCGUGCCGAUGUAGUCCGUUGAAGUCGAUUGUUGAAACUUCCAUCGUAGUUGCACUUUACCCAAUUCGGCUUCGGUCUCUUCCAUCUUGAUUGAUUCCUUCUGAUCCCUUGGGGCGGGGGUUGUUUCACAUAAGACUCCUCAGCGUCUUGGUAGGCCUAACGCAAAUCUUUCUCCCAUCUAUUCUGUCUUUGUUGAAAGACCAAUUUAUUUCGACUUUUCUAUAUUCUCCAUAACGUCCACAAAGACAAAUAUCUUAUAUGUUUAUAUUGUUUAAUUUCAAUUGAAAAACACAAUGAAUUUAAUAUAAAAAUCUUUGGGAAAAAUGUCGUUAAAAUCCCCAACUUAUUCAAAACGUUGAUUUAAAUCCUCAACUCAUGACGAAACGAAAUAAAUAUCAAACUUAUAUUGACUUUCCAAAUAAAUAUUAAACUUAGGUUGACUUUCCAAAUAAACACUAAACUUUCAUUGACUUUCCAAAUAAAAAUCAAACUUCCGUUGACCUGAUCAUAUUAGGUACGACGUUAAGUGGGUUAAUAAAUCCUCAACUCAUGACAAAACGAAAUAAAUAUCAAACUUAUGUUGACUUUCCAAAUAAAUAUCAAACUUAUGUUGACUUUCCAAAUAAAUAUCAAACUUCCGUUGACCUGGCCAUAUUAGGUACGACGUUAAGUGGGUUAAUAGAUCCCGUUAACAGAGGUAAUUUUCUGUUAACAUAUAUGUUAAUUGAUAACGACAUUGUUUCAUAUAACAACAAAACGACGUCGUUUUGUCGUAACGAUUGAAUUAAAUCCCUAAAGUCAAUAUUCGAUUCCCAAAUCGAGCAAAAUCCCUAACCCUAAAUAGAGUAUGAUUUGAAACUCGGGAUUUUAAUGAACAGUUUCGACAAAACAAAGUCGUUUUAUGUUUAGAAGGAAUACUUGUUAGUGUUUUGAUCAACAAACGAACUCUGUUUUAACAGAGUAUGAAGAACAAAACCAAAAUGAAAAAUAGAGUAUGAAGAAACUUGAUCUUUAUUGAUAAGAGGAAAUGUAUUACACACAAUGAUGUUAUUGAGUUUGACUUGAUCUACUUAUACAACACGAAACAACGUGUACGUACAUGUGUUAAUCGAAAAGACACAACUUUACGAACAGACACAACUAUACGUACGUACAUUCGUGACUCUUACGUAAAUAACUAACUUAUAUGAAUACGACUUUAGGUUAUAUGACUUAGAUGAGAUUUGAUUAUAGUUCAACAAUACUGUCAUUUUUAAUUAGCGGGUCUGUUAACAGAAAAUUAAUUCCGUUAACAUUGUCUGUUAACUCACUUAACGUCAUGCCUAAUAUGGCCAAGUCAAUGAAAGUUUGGUGUUUAUUUGGAAAGUCAACAUAAGUUUAAUAUUUAUUUGGAAAGUCAACAUAAGUUUGAUAUUUAUUUCGUUUCGCCGUGAGUUGAGGAUUUAAAUCAACGUUUUGAAUAAGUUGGGGAUUUUAAUGACAUUUUUCCCAAAAAUCUUUGUAUAGAAGUUUUUUUAAUUUAAAAUUUCAAGAUAUUUAAUUUUGGUAACUUUAGUUAAUAAAAGUAAAUAGUAUAUGGAAUUAAAAGUAUUGUGCAAGAUGAAUAAUAUAAUUAAAUAAAUAAAAAUAAAAAAUAAUUGUGAGCUUGACACAUAAGCAUCAAAAACUCUCUUUUAAUAUAAGUACACGAUUCGGGCUAGUCCAAUCCUAGUAUGCUUUAUAGCGAUAGUUUUGUAAAUUAAACUUUUGUUCAUAUCACUCUGAUUCUAAGUCCAUGCUUCAACGAAUGACACUUCCCAAAUCAAUAAGUUAUAAAAAGAUGGUUCAAUAUUCUUCUACAAAUAAAGAUGCGAAUGAUCAAUUUUUGCAAAGAUGAAUAAUAUAAUUAAAUAAAUAAAAAAUAAAAAAUAUGAAAAUAAUUUUGAGUUUGACACAUAACCAAUAUUAGACAUAUCAAAUCGGUCUCAUUUAGACAUAUCAAAUCGGUCUCAUUUAGAAAAGAUUGUAUAAAACCAAAAAUUGUUCUGUGGUAUAAUGUUACUUAAUAACAAUUGUAAACUAUAAAAUAUAAAUGUCUUAGAGAAUCAUACAAUUUGCAAACUUUUAUAUAUAAUAAAUAAUCGUUUAAUUUUUAAAAUUACUACUUUUAGAAAACAAAUUACGGAACAGGUUAAGAAAUUACAGGACGGGUUAUAUUUCAGAACGGGGUUAUAUGGUGGAGGAGUUUGUAUCAAUAUUUAUAAAAUUUUAAAAUAUCAUUAACAUGCCGCUUUAAUACAGAUUAAAUCAUCAGUUUAUUAAAAUAUAAAUUUCUCAGAGAAUGAUACAAUUUGUAAACUUUUUUAUAUAAUAAAUAAUCAUUAAAUUUUAAAAUCACUAAUUUAGAAAACAAAUCACGGGACGGGUUAAGAAAUUACGAGACGGCUUAUAUUUUGGAACGGGUUUACAUGGCGGACGGGUUUGAAUCAAUAUUUAUAAAAUUUUAAAAUAUUAUUAACAUGCCGCUUUAAUACGGAUUAAAUUCUCAAUUUAUUAACAAUUGUCCCGUAGACUCGUGGUAUAUCGUUACUUAAUAACAAUUGUAAACUAUAAAAUAUAAAGAGAUACAAUUUCCAAAAUUUUAUAUAUACUAAUUUUAAAAAAUAAAUCAUGAUUAAAAUCUAGUAUAUUGUUAUUUAUAAGUACACGCGCUAGUCCAAUCCUCGUAUGCUUUAUAGCGAUAGUUUUGUAAGAUAAACUUUUGUUCAUAUCACUGUGAUUCUGAGUCCAUGCUUCAACGAAUGACACUUCCCAAAUCAAUAAGUUAUAAAAAGAUGUUCAAUAUUCUUCUACAAAUAAAGAUGGGAAUGAUCAAAGUUUUCCAUCGAACUGAGUCCUGCGAAAAACAAGGCAAGUGCAUCGCAAGAGUUUCCCAUUAACAAAAAGCUCUGCCUAAAGAGCAGUUGAACUGUGUUUUGGUCUUGCUGGGAAGUGGAAUCAUAAAGACGGUCUCUGACAGAGGAUGAAGAGUUGACAACUGAUAAAAGCCAUUACCAGAGAAGUCACAAGCUCAAACCCAACAAUUUUCGGGAAAUGCCAUCCCAUGACUCUCUUUAGAUAGCUUGUGAUAGACGGCAUUGUUGCGAUGAUGACUGCACAAGUGUAUAUGAUGGGGAUCAGACUCUUCGGCUUGUUCUUGCGUAGCCACAUCAAAGAACCUAGUGCAGCUAGAGAUAUCGUGAACACCUGAAUUUGACACAAACGUUUGAUGGAAGUGAGAAACAAUUACAGAUGGAUCUUUCUAGAAAUAAAAAAUUGGUAUGUACCAGAUUUGCAUUGGCUUCAAGCCCUUGCAAAACAUAAUCCCAAGUGAACUCCAGUCCUCGAGCACCGACCCAGAGAGGUGCCAACCUGUGCAAAACAGAAUCUGCGAAUGCCCAUCCUGAACAAAAAGAAAGCAUUUUUUUAAUAAAUAUUCCAUGAUUAGGGCAAGCCUAGUAAUGUUGAAAGGUCCAACGGAAUUUAGUCAUGACGACCACUGAUAAAUAUUGAGGGAAGUCUAGAAAUGGUUGAAAGCUCCAACGGAAUUUUGACAUGGAAACUACACUUCCAGUAAUCAUAAAAAAGGAGUUUCUUUUCUAUGAACCAGUUCAAAGCAAUUCCACCAUCAAAUCAUCGAUUUGUAACAUUUUUUUAGAAUGUUAUAUCCAAAGCUAACAAUAUUUGUAGCAGCAGAGAUCCACUUACCAAGGCCAACAGCUUGAAACUUAUGGUUUUGGGAGAUGUUCCUGUGUGUCAGCUGGGCCAGAGCAUAAUAUAGACCAGCAACGUCUAUGAAGCCAAUCAUUGCUUUCAAUGCUUCCUGAUACAAGGGAGAUUGAACCCAUAUUUAGUCAUCUAGAUUAUAACAUAACAAAACAAGUAUAGCGGUAAUAGUAGAAGUUGAUAGUGAAAAGAAAGUCAACAAUGUGCAUCUAUAUAAUAGAGAAAACACAUUAUAAACUUCAGAAAAAGAAGAAAUGCAUCAAGUGAACCUGAAAAGAUAAGUCUGGUUAACAUCAUAUAUCAUUUUACUUAGAGUAGCAGUAAAGAUGACAACUUCAUUAUCUUUCAAUAGAAAAAUAACCAACAGACUCAUAAGUGCUACAGUAAUCUUGUCUUAGCUACAAGUAAAUAAAUACCUGGUAUGGGUCAAAUACUUCAGUCUCAGAAACUUGCAGAAAAGUCGCUAAACAAACAAGCUGCCAUGAAAAUAACCAAUAAGCUUAGCUAAAAGCGAUUCAGAAACAAAUCCAUCACAAGAAAGAUUUGCGCAAAAAUGUUACAGUUGACUAACCUUAACCAAUGCAGUAGCAAGGUAAACUACAGCAGCUUUCACGGAGGUUCCAAGUGUAUCAUAUUCAGAUCUGCAGAUUCACUUUCCGAUUACAAACUAUAACCCUAACAUAAAAUUCUAAUUCCGUGAAGAAACCAUAACAAUACACAAAGUCAAUUUGUGAACUUCUCAAUAACUAAGUUCCGCAGAAACCUAUAUACUACGUCUAAGAUUCUAGAUCCCGAAGUUUACAAGUAAGAGAUUGUUGUACGCGAAAGAAGAUCUAAGUACAAUCUUAGAUUAGGUAUGACUAAACGAAAAGAGAUUACAAUUUGAGAUCACAGAUCGAGAAAGAGGAUUUGUUCAUACAAGGGAGUGGCGGAGUAGUAGACGGCGUGAGGACCGAAUGUGAGAAUCGCACAGUUGAAGAAGUGAAAAAGCGUCAUCGUCCACCGUCGCUCUCUGUUUCUCCGGUACCAAAUCAGAAGCUACAGCUCCGGCGGCUCAAAGACGACGACGUGAAGCUGUGAAAUUGAAGAAGAAGAGGUUUGUGAUCUCUGAAACUCUGAUGGAAUCAACAAAAAUCUUAAUGGGUUUCAUUUUGGGUCAUUAUUGGGCCGUCAAAUUUUUUGUUCAUUUUUCUUGAAAGCUAGUUUUCUUUUCAUAUGGUUUGCACAAAAAAAAAGGUAUAUCUUUGUUGUAAAAUGAAAUGAAAUUGGUUUUUUUUUUUUUUUGGUUAGCUGAAAUUUGUUUACAAAAGAAUGAAAUUACAUAGUAAUAACCAAUAAUUUGAAUUUGGUUACUUUAAUUUUGAGUUCUAUAUAUAACCAAUAAUUUAAUCCAUAUUUGAUUUUGUGUUAAACAGUUUCUAAAUUUUAUUCUUUCUAAAACUUAGAAGUGUUAGUUAUCGAUAUGAAUUUUAAUAUAUUUUGAGUAAUCCAUUUAAAUUUUUUUUGAAUUUGAAUUUUAAUAUAUUUUGAGUUUUAAAUCUGUUUUAAAUUUUUUGAAUAAUUAGAAUUUUAUUAUUCAGCGUUCAUGUUAUUCACUAUUUAAGAGCAUCUCCAUCAAUGGUGUCUCAUUGAGAAACUAUCUCUUAAAAAAAUAUAAAAAAAUUAAAAAAGUAAGAAAGAGAAAGGAGAGAAUGUCUCAGAAUGUCUGAUUUGAGAAACUCUGAGAAACCCACUAAACCACUUGUUUUUCAUCUAUUGGUUCAAUUUUAUAUUUAUGAUUAAAAAAAUAAUUAUAUAACUGAAAUAUAUUAAAAUACUAAUAUUUUUUUGUUUGAGAAACUCAAAAAGUAUCUCACUGUUGGAGAUGGUAACGCGUAAAACAUUCAAGCCGAUUGUCUAGUUCCCGAUUAAUUGUUAUUUUGGCCAAAAAAUUUCAGACUACUUAAUACAUAUAUAUGAUUUUUUUGAAUACUAUAAUUCUGUAGUGUUUUGAAGGACUUGCCCAAACAAUUUUUUUAUAUAAAAAAUCAUUUUCUAAUGAAAUUUAAUAUAGAGGAAACUAUAUGAAAAAGGUAAGAAUUAAAAGGGGGAAAAAAAAUUCAUAUGUAACAAAAACAGCAACUGAAAAAAACGUCUAAAGCCUAUAUAAAAACCACAUCACCACUCUCACAACAUCCCCUUCUCUUUCGCUUUCUCUCUUCUCUCCCAUUAACUUCUCUCUCGUUUUCUCAUAGUCUCAACUUAAUGCCGUCGGAACCAAACCAAACCCGACCCACCAGAAUUCAGCCCUCUACGGCGGCUUACCCACCUCCAAAUCUGGCUGAGCCUCUCCCAUGUCCUCGCUGCAACUCCACCACCACCAAGUUCUGUUACUACAACAACUACAAUCUUGCUCAGCCUCGUUACUUCUGCAAAUCUUGCCGCCGUUACUGGACUCAAGGUGGUACACUCCGUGACGUCCCCGUCGGUGGUGGAACUCGUCGGAGCUCUUCAAAACGUCACCGCUCUUUCUCCACUACCGCAACCUCCUCUUCCUCCUCUUCUUCCGUCAUCACCACGACCAAAGAAGCAGCCACAAAUGAGACGAAGGGUAGUAAUGUAAUUUCAGGUCAUGGAAGCUUUGCUUCUCUGUUGGGUUUAGGAAGUGGAAAUGGUGGGUUGGAUUUCGGGUUUGGGUAUGGGUACGGGUACGGGCACGGGCACGGGCUUGAGGAUAUGAGUGUUGGGUAUCUUGGAGACUCCUCCGGAGUAGAGAUUCCGGUGGUUGAUGGUGGUGGUGGUGACACGUGGCAGAUUGGGGAGAUUGAAGGUAAAAGUGGAGGAGACAGUUUAAUAUGGCCUGGUCUUGAGAUCUCAAUGCAAACCAACGAUGUUAAGUGAAAUUGAAACCGUUUCUGAUUUCUUGUCUUUGUCUUCUUUUGUUUGUGUCUUUUUGGAAUUUUCUGUUUGUUUUCUUUUUUUCCUAAAAAGAAGAGCAAAGAAACCAAAUUGAAGCAAAUUUUUCUUAGUUUUUGAGGUCCAACAAUGGUGGUGUAUAAAUCCUCUGUUUCUUUGACGAACAUAUUGGAAUGGAUUUAUGAGUAAAAAAGUAAAAAAAAAAAAAUUAUUUCUUUUGAUUUUUGGUUGGUUAAAUUUUGAAAGGUAUAGUCAAAUGUAGAAAGAUGAAUUGAGCAUAUAAGUCCAAAAAGGAAAAAAGUACAUAAGUACUGUUGCAGAAGUGAGUAAGAGAUACUCUGUUGCUACAUCUUUGAAAUGAGGAAAUUGCGUUGAACUUAAUUUUGUUUUUAUUAUAGAUAAACAUCAACUACAACAUUGUUCAUUUGCAGUGUAAAAGAUUUUGUAUAUCAAGUCAUGUGAGUCUAGUGUUUAGUAUAUAAGACAAUUCAUAAGAAUGUUUUAAAAAAAAGUUUCAUUCGAUCAAUGGAUUGGAAAUUUUUAGGGUUAAUUUAGAUUAUGGUGUACUUAUCAGGUUUAAUCCUUAGUGUUAUUAUUUUUUUUUUGUCAAACUAUUAAACUAUAGUGUACUAGGUUAAACGUUAAAAACAAAAUUUGAAUGUAGGAAUUAUAGCUAAUAGAUAUUGUUGUGUAGUCUCCUAUUGUGGUCAAAGCAAAAAAAAAAACAAAUUGCGUUUAGGUUUAGGUUUGAUACCAACAUUAUGACCCAAGGACAUAUAUAGAGAAUGAUGUUUAGGUUUGAUACCAGCUAAUAGAACUUUUGCCCGCAUAAAUCAAUCAACCAUGUUCAGUGAGAGCGCCCAAGCAUCUGUGGUCUAGUGGCAGAGGAAGCUUUGGGAAAGGGUGAAACUUCCAAACCUGAGUUCGAUUCUCCCUGGAAACAAAAACACAUUUGUUUGGGAAGUCUGUCAGUUGGGCUUUGGUCCAAUUGGUUUACCUGGUAGCCAGAAAUGCAGGCGGCCUGACUACCCCUGCCACUUAGUCGGAAGGCAUUCCAAACUCGGGAUAGGCAGAGUGGUAGCCCGUAAGGGCCUAACCGUUAACACGGUGGACCAGUCCACUAUGUAACACUUUGGUGCGUUCUUACCGAGGCCGACCGGAUAACCGAUAGGGUUUAUCAAAAAAAAAAAAAUAAUAAUAAAAAAAUAAUAAUAAUAAAUAAAUGUUCAGUGAGAGCGUAAUCAGCUCCAUUUAAUUGUAUGUCUCAGUAACUUAGUUUGAGUCAUUGUUAGAGCAAACGCAAUGGCGUAAUUGAGACAUGGGUGUAAGUUAUAAACAAUUGAGAAAUAUUGCAAAAGUUACAUUUUCAACAAAAACCGGUUGUAGACUUACACUCAAGUGUGAGGCAUUAUAAAAAUAGAAAAAAAUGUAUUCUCUCUAUCCGUCUCUAUCUCUCUCUCUCUCUUUUAUCUCUUUCUCUUUUAAUUAUAAUAAUAAACAAUUACUUACACCCACAAUUACACAUGCUCCACUGCGUUUGCUCUUAUCCUUUCUCCACCAACACAAGGUAUGUAGAGCCCGGGCCCAACAUUAAUUUGAGCUUUAGGACAAUUUUUUUUUUUGGAUCUUUUGUUAAAUGAAAAAAGGUUGGACAUUUUUGGAACUUUUUACAAGUAAAUUUUGAGCACUUUUAACAUUUUUUGAAAAUAUAAAUUCUUUUUGUAAAAAUACAAGCCAAUUAGAAAAAAUUUGGACUUUUUAAUAUAUUUAUAAGGAAUCAAAAUUUUUUAUCAAGUAUUUUUUGGUCCAUCUAUUUUUUUCUAAAAAACCUGAGCUUUUUUCUUUCGUAAUUUUUUUUGGUAAAUACUCCAUAAGCUUUGCGCCGUCGUACCUCGCCCCACCAUAUUAGACCGGAUAUGUAUAUUCUUCGUUGUUCUCCACGAGAAAGGACUCUCUUACGACUUUAUCACAAAAUCGAAAGUAUAGUAUUUUACACACAUGUGACUAAAGUAAUUGUGUAACGCAAGGCAUAUUAGAUCCAAGUUAAUUUAUCAUCGGUGUUAACUUAGGUUUAUGGUUGAUGACUUGAUGUAUAGGGAAAACGAAGUUGAACAAUCUAUAAAGCUAAUAACAAAAAACACAAACUAAUUAUGCGAUCUAUAUAUGUUAAUACGUGAGUUACCGGAUAUAGUAAAUUUGCUUUUGAGUGGAGUCUACACCACUAAUUUUACACUACUCAUAAAUUUUGCUUCGUUUAUAUAUUGGAGAAUAUAAUAUCUUUCUAAUCUGUUUGGUGUGAUAACGUUAUAUUUCGAAUUAAAUGUGUAACAUUUUCAAGAAUUUUUUUUUUUUUUUUUAAAUAGACAUCUUUAUUAUAAAAUUCUCCCAAAUGGGCCUGAGCCGAACAACAACAAAAGCCAAGACCAGUUACAAAAUAGCAAAUCGGCGUUUCACCGGAAGAAAAAGAAGCUCGCCGUUUGUUGAUAGAUGCCCGCAGAGCAACCGGAGCCUGACAUCCGGCGGGCUCAAGACCCACAGUUUUGUGGCUACAACCGAAGACCGUGAAAUAUCGGCGAAAGAGACCGGUUUCCGCCAUCAAUUACAUACCUCUGACGAACCAACCCACCACAAGUCUCACGGAAAGCUAGUCACUCCGACUAAGCACAUCGACGGAAACAGAUCCUAAAGAAGCAAUCCGACUCACUAGACGGAAACCCCUCUCUUCCAGACCGGAAAAACAAACCAAGAUCCCAGAGCUUUGACGAAUCAAUCCGGCUCGAUGGCUGCUAAAUUGUGGCGGAUCUAAAGGAUGGUGGCUCAAAUCCAAACCCCGUACACCCGAAAUCCACAACCGCCCUCUAAGAUCCUAUGGAUCUGCAGCUAACCACCGAGCAAACAACGAACCCACCUUAAUCCCCCCCAACUUCCGCCGUGAACGCAACUUGAGACUGACGGUUGAGCCGGAGGAACUGAGCCACUCACGACGUCCCAACCAUGAGAGAACUGUUGCAGUAGACCUCCUCCAAUCAGACCCGAGUCACCUCCACAUCGAAGGGAAAACGCCACACCACCGUUGACAGAGAAACUGAUGUGAUCAUGGGAAGCUUGGGUCAAGGAACUAAGGAACAGCUUGAACCAGAGGAGGUACUCGACCACAUGCUCGACCACCAGGAGGACAAUGCGAUCGAGUAUGCUGAUGCUGAACCAGAUGAUGUACUCGACCACAUGCUCGACCACCAGGAGGACAAUGUGAUCAAGUAUACUAAUGCACCAAGGAAGUACUCGACCAUGCAGGGAGCUAAGGAGCAUGAAGCACUUGAAACUAAAGAGGAUAUGUCAUUGCAAGUUGCUACUGGACCAAUGACAAGAUCAAAGACUAAGUUGUUGAAUCAAGCUAUCAACACACUUCUACAACACAUUGAAGGCACCCUUAAACCGGAAGCUUGUCCAACCACGUUGGUUGUGAUUCAAGCCGUUUAAGUGACAUCAUUGGAGGUGUGUGACUUGCACUCUUUUUCACUCCUCUUGGUUUUGUCCAAAUGGGUUUUCCAAGAGAGGUUUUUAACGAGGCAAGCUCACACACUCAUAUUCGAGCCCAAUGAUGUCUCGCAGCCCAUUACCAAAGGAGAAGCCCAUGACAAAUUCGAAAUCAGUCUUGUGUGUGUUUAAUUUCGUUUCUUUCCCGAGAAUAACUCUUCAUCUUCCUAGAACUCUCUUCUUCUUCUUUAUAUUUCGUUUCUUCUCCUUUGUAAACGUUAUCAAACAAUUUCUUAUCAAUCAUCUUUUUUGAUUUCGUUUGAUCUUGAGUUUGAGUGUGUAAUAUCUCGAAUUCAUCUUGAGACUGCUCUUGGUGUGUCAUAUCCAAGCAGAAUCAAGUCUGGAAGUUCAAAGGAGUCUCGCAGCCUUUGGAAGUUCUACUCGACCCCUCAACUCCUCUUAUACUCGAUCUCACCUUCAUCAUUUGAUCCAUUCGUUUUCACCAUCACUUGAUCAUUCAAACCAUCAAUCUUCGUCAUACUUGAUCUCACCCUCAUUCACUCGAUCACAAGCCACUCAAACAAUCCAGUUUCACCGUUUCGUUGUUUUUACUCGAUCACACUCCUUUAUCACCACUCGACCAUUCUACUCGACCUCAUCACCAAAGUACUCAACCCCCUCUUCACAAGACUACUCGAUCACCAUCAAUCACACCGUAUUCGAUCCGCCUCCUCACCUACUCGACUCCUUACUCGAUCUCAUCCACUUCACUCUUACUCAUUCCGCAUCAUUUUAACUUGAUCUAUUCAACCACUACACGAAGUGCAUCAAGGGACUAAGAUCUUCUAACUAGGAUCAUAUUAAGUGGUAUCAGAGCCACUUCGUGUCAGGUUGUAUCAAUCUAAACUUUUCAUCUUCUGAUUUGUUCUUGCGAAAUUGUUUCAUCGUUCUAGGCUUGAAUACUUAUCCGAUCUGUAUGAAACUUGUUAAAUCAUUUAGAUCACGUUCUGAACUGUUUAAUUACGUACUCGAUCUAGUAAUUAGGAACAAAACGAUUCGUCUUCCAUGCUUGCUCGAUUAGGGUUCAAUAGAAACUAUUUAGGGUUUUGAAUUUUCAGACUCUAUUGUUUGUUGCUCGAUUUACAAGGAACACUUUACUGGUUUUCUUUGUUUUAAUCAUUGCAGACAUGUCUGAUAAGGACAAGGAAGAAAGCAGUCAGGUACAGAACAACAAGUUGUUGCUGGAAGCUCUUACAGCAACUCUCACAGCUACUCUUACUGCUAACAUGGCAAAAAUGAUGGACGAAAGGUUUGAAGCUAAUGAGAGAUCAACCCAGGGCAGACAGAACAGAGAUACUAGAAAUCCUUCUGAUCAAGAGGCGGCACACAACUAUUACAGCCAAACCUCUACUCGUAACAGCCAUAGAAGGAGAAGACAUCACAGAGAAGAAAGAGCUCUACCUAGAGAUGACCUAGCUAGCUUGAAGAUACGGAUUCCUUCUUUCCAGGGAACCAGUGACCCUGAGGAGUACUUAGAAUGGGAAAAAAAGAUUGAGCUAGUAUUCGGUUGUCAAGGUUAUACAGAGGAGCGUAAAGUGAAACUGGCACCAACAGGGUUCCAGAACUACGCAUUGAGUUGGUGGGAUCAAUUGGUCACCACAAGAAGACGUGCCAGAGAUUACCCAAUUGAGACAUGGACUCAGAUAAAGACUAUAAUGAGGAAGAGAUUCGUGCCCAGCCACUACCACAGAGAGCUACACAAUAGAUUGAGGAACCUAGUCCAAGGAAGUAGAUCAGUUGAAGAAUACUACAAAGAGAUGGAGACAUUGAUGUUGAGAGCAGAUAUUCAAGAGGAUGAAGAAGCUACAAUGUCUAGAUUCAUGGGAGGUCUGAACAGAGAUAUCAUUGACAAAGUAGAAGUUCAACACUACGUGGAACUAGAUGAGCUGCUACACAAAGCAAUCAUGUUUGAGAAGCAACUUAAAAGGAGAAACUCUAACCCUAGCUUUGGAUCAGUCAAGUCCAGUUUUAGUUCAGGAAAGCCUAGCUACCAAAGGGAUGAGCGUUCGGGACUUAAGAGAGACUACAAACCCUUUAUCAAGCCAAAUGUUGAUGAUCAAGAUCAGAAAGGAAAGGGUAAAGCUGUUGUGACCAGAACCAGAGAUAUCAAGUGUUUUAUAAGUGUCAGGGACAUGGUCAUUACGCUAGUGAAUGCUCAAACAAGAGAAUCAUGAUACUGAAAGAUACUGGUGAAAUAGAGUCAGAAGAUGAGCAGCAAGAAGAGAACUCAUCAUCAGAAGACUGUGAAGCGCCAUCUAAAGGAGAGCUGCUGGUUGCCAUGAAGACUUUGAGUGUUAUUGCUAAGACAUGAGCAAGAGCAAAGAGAAAAUCUGUUUCACUCAAGAUGUAUUGUCAAUAACAAGGUCUGUAGCUUAAUCAUAGAUGGAGGAAGCUGCACCAACGUUGCCAGUGAGGCCAUGGUGGAGAAACUUGGUCUAAAGGUCAUGAAGCAUCCGAAGCCAUACAAAUUGCAGUGGCUAAAUGAGGAUAGAGAAAUGAGCGUGAGCAGACAAGUGAAGGUACCAUUGUCUAUUGGAAAGUAUGAGGAUGAAAUUUUGUGUGACAUACUGCCUAUGGACGCUAGUCACAUUCUAUUGGGAAGACCAUGGCAGUCAGACCGAAGAGUAAUGCAUGAUGGCUUCACCAAUCGUCAAAUCUUUGAGUUCAAGGGCAGAAAAACCAUACUGGCUCCAAUGACUCCGCAUGAGGUAUAUCUUGACCAGUUGAGUAUGAAAAUGAGGAGGAAACAAAAGGAAAAAUCAUCUAACCUCAUGAUCACUGAGAGUAAGCAAAGGGGAAGUAAUAUACAUUCAUCUAAAUUACUCUUUGUUUUUAAGGAGACUCUUGUAAGUAUCACUAACCCUGAGCAGGCCAUUCCUAGCAAAAUUAAGUGUCUAUUGCAGGAAUAUACUGAUGUGUUUCCAGAGGAGAACCCUGAAGGCUUACCACCCAUCAGAGGCAUCGAUCAUCAGAUAGAUUUUGUUCCAGGAGCCUCUUUGCCAAACAGACCAGCUUACAGAACUAAUCCUGUGGAGACCAAGGAGCUAGAAAAACAAGUGACUGAGCUAAUGGAGAGAGGCCAUAUUCGUGAGAGUAUGAGUCCCUGUGCUGUACCUGUAUUGCUUGUGCCUAAGAAGGAUGGAAGCUGGAGAAUGUGUGUUGACUGCAGAGCCAUCAACAACAUAACAGUGAAGUAUCGCCAUCCUAUACCUAGAUUAGAUGACAUGUUAGACGAAUUGCAUGGUUCUAGCGUCUUUUCUAAGGUAGAUUUGAAAAGCGGAUAUCAUCAAAUUAGGAUGAAAGAAGGCGAUGAGUGGAAAACUGCAUUUAAGACUAAGAAAGGGUUGUAUGAAUGGUUAGUGAUGCCAUUCGGGCUGACAAAUGCACCUAGUACAUUCAUGAGGCUAAUGAAUCAUGUUCUUAGAGCUUAUAUAGGACAUUUCGUUGUAGUGUACUUUGAUGAUAUCCUAGUCUACAGCAAGAGUCUAGAAGAGCAUGUAGAUCAUCUGAAAAUGGUUCUAGAAGUCCUUAGGAAGGAAAAGCUUUAUGCCAAUCUUAAGAAAUGUACUUUUGGAAUAGAUAACCUUGUCUUCUUAGGUUUUUUUGUGAGUACAGAUGGAGUAAAAGUUGACGAAGAGAAGGUUAAGGCAAUCCGUGAAUGGCCCAGUCCGAAAUCUGUAGGAGAAGUGAGAAGCUUCCAUGGACUUGCUGGCUUCUAUAGGCGGUUUGUAAAGGAUUUUAGCACUCUAGCAGCUCCUCUCACUGAAGUUAUCAAGAAGAAUGUGGGAUUCAAGUGGGAACGAGCUCAAGAGGAUGCUUUCCAGGCCUUGAAAGAGAAGCUUACUAAUGCCCCUGUCUUAUCUCUCCCUGAUUUUAUUAAAACUUUUGAGAUUGAAUGUGAUGCCUCCGGGGUAGGAAUUGGUGCUGUCUUAAUGCAGGAUAAGAAGCCAAUAGCUUAUUUCAGUGAAAAGCUAGGGGGAGCUACUCUCAAUUAUCCUACUUAUGACAAGGAGCUUUACGCUUUGGUUAGAGCACUACAGACAUGGCAGCACUAUCUCUGGCCUAAGGAGUUUAUCAUUCACACAGAUCAUGAGUCCUUAAAGCAUCUCAAAGGAUAACAGAAGCUCAACAAGCGGCAUGCAAGGUGGGUUGAAUUCAUUGAGACCUUUCCCUAUGUCAUCAAAUACAAAAAAAGGUAAGGACAAUGUAGUUGCCGAUGCAUUGUCACGGAGGUAUGUUCUUCUCUCAUCUCUUGAUGCUAAGUUACUCGGGUUUGAGCACAUAAAAUCUCUAUAUGCAAAUGAUUCUGAUUUUGGAAAAAUAUAUUCAUCUUGUGAGAAGUUUGCAUUUGGAAAGUAUUAUAGACAUGACGGGUUCUUGUUUUAUGAUAACCGUUUGUGUGUCCCUAAUUCUUCUUUGAGAGAGCUGUUUGUAAGGGAAGCACACGGUGGAGGUUUAAUGGGACACUUUGGAGUCUCAAAAACUCUUAAAGUCAUGCAAGAUCACUUUCACUGGCCGCAUAUGAAGAGAGAUGUGGAGAAAAUGUGUGGAAGAUGCUCGACAUGUAAACAAGCUAAGGCUAAGUCACAACCCCACGGUUUGUAUACUCCUCUUCCUAUUCCUUUGCAUCCUUGGAAUGAUAUUUCUAUGGACUUUGUAGUAGGUUUGCCAAGGACCAGGACAUGUAAGGAUUCAAUUUUUGUGGUUGUGGAUAGAUUUUCUAAGAUGGCACAUUUUAUUCCAUGUCAUAAAACUGAUGAUGUCAUGCAUAUAGCCAACUUGUUCUUUAGGGAAAUUGUUCGUUUACAUGGCAUGCCUAAGACCAUAGUAUCUGAUAGAGACACUAAGUUUCUUAGUUAUUUCUGGAAAACGCUUUGGUCUAAGCUAGGGACUAAGUUAAUGUUCUCUACUACUUGUCAUCCACAAACUGAUGGGCAAACUGAGGUAGUUAAUAGGACAUUGUCUACACUCCUGCGUGCAUUGAUUAAAAAGAAUUUAAAGACUUGGGAGGACUGUUUACCUCAUGUUGAAUUUGCAUAUAAUCAUUCUAUGCAUUCUGCCUCUAAAUUUUCACCUUUUCAAAUCGUUUAUGGGUUCAAUCCCACUACUCCUUUGGAUUUGAUGCCUUUACCUUUGGAUGAAAGAGUUAGUCUGGAUGGAAAGAAGAAGGCAGAAUUGGUUCAACAGAUUCAUGAGCAGGCUAAGAAGAACAUUGAAGAGAAGACGAAGCAGUACAUCAAACAUGCUAACAAGAGCAGAAAGGAGUUCAUCUUCAACGAAGGAGACUUGGUUUGGAUCCAUCUUCGAAAAGAACGUUUUCCUAAGGAGAGGAAAUCUAAGCUUAUGCCAAGGAUAGACGGACCAUUCAAAGUGCUCAAGAGGAUCAACAACAAUGCAUACUCCCUGAAUUUGCAAGGUAAGUACAAUGUGAGUAAUAGCUUCAAUGUUGCUGACCUUAUCCCUUUUAUUACAGAUAAUACAGAUUUGAGGUCAAAUCCUUCUCAACUGGGAGAGGAUGAUGUGAUCAUGGGAAGCUUGGGUCAAGGAACUAAGGAACAACUUGAACCAGAGGAGGUACUCGACCACAUGCUCGACCACCAGGAGGACAAUGCGAUCGAGUAUGCUGAUGCUGAACCAGAUGAUGUACUCGACCACAUGCUCGACCACCAGGAGGACAAUGUGAUCGAGUAUCCUAAUGCACCAAGGAAGUACUCGACCAUGCAGGGAGCUAAGGAGCAUGAAGCACUUGGAACUAAAGAGGAUAUGUCAUUGCAAGUUGCUACUGGACCAAUGACAAGAUCAAAGACUAAGUUGUUGAAUCAAUCUAUCAACACACUUCUACAACACAUUGAAGGCAGCCUUAAACCGGAAGCUUGUCCAACCACAUUGGUUGUGAUUCAAGCCGUUUAAGUGACAUCAUUGGAGGUGUGUGACUUGCACUCUUUUUCCCUCCUCUUGGUUUUGUCCCAAUGGGUUUUCCAAGAGAGGUUUUUAACGAGGCAAGCUCACACACUCAUACUCGAGCCCAAUGAUGUCUCGCAGCCCAUUACCAAAGGAGAAGCCCAUGAUAAAUUCGAAAUCAAUCUUGUGUGUGUUUAAUGUCGUUUCUUUCCCGAGAAUAACUCUUCAUCUUCCUAGAACUCUCUUCUUCUUCUUUAUAUUUCGCUUCUUCUCCUUUGUAAACGUUAUCAAACAAUUUCUUAUCAAUCAUCUUUUCUGAUUUCGUUUGAUCUUGAGUUUGAGUGUGUAAUAUCUCGAAUUCAUCUUGAGACUGCUCUUGGUGUGUCAUAUCCAAGCAGAAUCAAGUCUGGAAGUUCAAAGGAGUCUCGCAGCCUUUGGAAGUUCUACUCGACCCCUCAACUCCUCUUAUACUCGAUCUCACCUUCAUCAUUCGAUCCAUUCGUUUUCACCAUCACUUGAUCAUUCAAACCAUCAAUCUUUGUCAUACUCGAUCUCACCCUCAUUCACUCGAUCACAAGCCACUCAAACAAUCCCGUUUCACCGUUUCGUUGUUUUUACUCGAUCACAUCUUCCACUUCACCACCAAAAUCCACUCGAUCACACUCCUUUAUCACCACUCGACCAUUCUACUCGACCUCAUCACCAAAGUACUCAACCCCCUAUUCACAAGACUACUCGAUCACCAUCAAUCACACCGUAUUCGAUCCGCCUCCUCACCUACUCGACUCCUUACUCGAUCUCAUCCACUUCACUCUUACUCAUUCCGCAUCAUUUUAACUUGAUAUAUUCAACCACUACACGAAGUGCAUCAAGGGACUAAGAUCUUCUAACUAGGAUCAUAUUAGAAACGCCCUGGCUCACUCCUAGACCGCUUUUGAGAAGAUUAGACCCAAGAUUGAAGAACAAAACAGUAAAGAAACCUAGAUCUGAGAACUGAAAAUCGUCUUCACGAGAGAGAAAUACACGACUUACGAGGCAACGAUUGUGCCUUCCAUCAAGAAAUUUUUUUUGACUUCUUAAUUUGAACUUUUUAAUAUAUUUUAAGGAAAUAUGGGCCUUUUAUCAAGCAUUUUUUGGCAAUUUAUGUUUUUUUCUAAAAUAUCUGAACUUUUGGUCUUAAAAAUAUAUUAAAAAAUCUAAACUAAAAAGUCCAAACUUUUCUAUUUUAUGUUCAACGAUUUGGAAGUCGAGGGUGUCAGGUUCGUAAAAAAAUCGUUUCUAUUGAAUGCACACAUUGUGUUGAUGAAGAAAGGAUGACUAUGAACUUUCUAUAUAUUGUUUUGACUUUUUGAAAAAGAGAAAGUGAAGUCCAAAUUAAUCAACAUUUCAGUAGUGUAUAUCGGUUGCUGCUAAGCUUAAAUUCGUUGUACUUGUUGAUUUGAUAUUCUUACAAGAAACUUAAAUUUGUGUUUAUAAGGAAUUAUAAUCAACAGUAGACCAAAAUCGUCAACACCGGCUCGCAUGGCACAAAUUUGAUGUGCAACGUCAGAAAUUUGCAUAUAAUACGUUCCUCGGAUUGCUAUCGGUUUUCGUGUUUUUCCUAUAUGAAAUAAUUGGUUAGCUAUAUAUAUCAUGAGUAAUGGCAAGAUUUUUCGUUUAAUAUGUUAAAUCAAAGCCUUCGCGAUAAUCCUACAAAUAUUAUGUCAAAUCAAAUUUCUCGUGAUGAAGAGUUCAAUUCUAAUUUUAAAAUUUUUAAAAACUAAUGUAUGUGACCGGAAAAACGUUUACAAGAUACAUAUACGGGUUAUAUUGCGUAUUAUUUUGGAUAUCGUAAGAUUAAUCUGUAUUUUUCGGAGAUGAAGGAUAAAGUUGCAAAAAUGGCAAGUUGAAAUGUCUUUUUGCAAAAAACCCUUAAAAAUCAUGUUUUUUUUCUGUAUUCGUUAUUAAUAAUUACUUUUUCAUCAUAUAAAUGUUUUUAUUAUAACACUUAACCGCAAAAGUUGAAGUAAUAUGCAUUGGUGACAUAAAUAUUCAAACUAGAAAAAUUCAAUUCCUUUCAGCAUGCACUUCUAUGUUCCUAAAUACUGAGUAUUACUGAUUUUAAUGUUUUGAUUCCUUCUGCUUGAUCAAUUCCUAUUAGUAUAACUGAAAUUUACUGAAAUUGUUGGUAUUGAAAACCUGUAAAUGUAAAUGUACCAAAAAAGUGAAAAAAUAAAAUGAAAUUUUAUCUCGAUAUCAGUUCGUUCAAAAUGCUUAAAGAGCUACUAAUAUUGGUCUUGGCCUCCUCUUACUAAUAUAAUUAACUACUAAACUCUAUUCAAGUUUCUGGACAUUAAUUGUCUGAAAUUAUGGAUUCGAACGUUAAAAUGUUUAAUAGAGAGAACAGUAACAUGGUGGUUCAAGAGGGUUUUGAUUGUUUGUUGAUUUGCACAGAUUCGUUUGCUCCUAAUACUCGAAUCAUUACGAAGAAAUUCAGCUAACAACAAUAUUAUAGAAAGACAAUCAUUAUGUUUUCACUCAUACUUUUUUUCUUCUAUAAGAAUAAUUUACUUAAGUUAUCAUAUUACCUAAUUUUUAUUUUCACAGUAAGAAAAUUUACAUUCUUCUCACUUAUAAUAAUUAAUGGACUAUCCUUCUUCCCUAAACUCUUUUCAUCUUUUUUUUUUUUUUGAAUACCAGGAGGUUCCGGACCAAAGUCCGUAAUCCCCCCAGGCCCAAAAACACAGCAUAUAAUAUUAGUUUCGUCCCAAACGUCACUCGAACCGGCGACCUCUAAGCUUUGCCUAAGAUUUUUACCAGUUAAGCUAACGACACUUGGUACUCUUUUCAUUUUUCAUUGAUCUCUUUCCCACUUAUCAUUUUUUUGCCACUCACCUCUUAUUCCUAUAAACGUCUAUAAUCGAAACUUAUUUGCAUCUAUUGUAUUCGAAAACAUAUUUCAAGGAUUCUGGUGGCAUGCCAUCAUAAGAUCAUUACAAAAACGAAAGUGUCAACUAUUAAGUAUUCUUUAGUUUCCAAUAAAUAUGUUAUCUCUAAUAUAUUUAACAGUGGAAGUGGGUGUCAUUGACCUUUAAUUGUCAAAUUAAAUCAGAGUCAUGAUGAGAUUGGAAUCAUUUGCUGAGAAAAAACAAGAAAAUUGAAUCCUCGAAAGAAUGUUUAUUUUGAGCCAAAGGUUGUCUAUAUUUGUUAAUGAUCAACCACCCAAGAUUUGUUUAUCUAUUUCCAUAAUUAUACAACUAUGAUGCCGUUUCCCAAUUUGUGGCUUCUCACAUCAUUGUCUCUCAGCAGGUGUGUUGUGACUUCUCUUGGCUUAUCCCUACACCAAUUAUUAUUAUGCUCCUCUGUUUUUUUUCAAAACUAAAAGCAAAAUAUAAGAGCAAUAUUUUCCCAUAUUUUUAAGAGAUCAAUAAUAUUGAAUUUCUAACUGUGAUUACUGAUUAGUGAUUACCAAAUGAAUAAAAGGAACAGACAAAUUUAUUAUAAUUAAUAAUACAAAUAACAGGAAGAUAGAAUAAAAGCUAAUAUGAUAAGCUUUAAUGUUGGUCUAAAUAAAUAUAAAUUUUUUAUAUCACUUCUUUGUUAUAGACUUUUAGUUAAACUUGGUUGUUGAAAAGCUUUCUUCAAAAAGUUUUUUAAAGAUAAGAUACACACACUGACACACACACUGGGUCAUUGCCUAAAAUCUUUUUUUUUUUUUUUUUUUAUAUCCAAGCGUGCUUAUUUAUGAACCAAAAAUAAAUAAAAUUAACUAAGUCACGUCAAAUAUAUUCCAUGUUUUAAAUGCUUUUUUUUUUUUUUUUUUUUUUGACAAUUUUGGAUCAACAAAAUCCGAUCCAUAGUCAAUCCUUACUACGCGGGUGAUAUAUCACGGAUUUUACUGGUUUUUAACCGUAAUUUACGUGUCACUUUUAGAGUUUUUUUUGUUGUUUCUAGUGUUUUUUUGAGUCUUUUCAGGUUUUUUGCACGAUCGGGACGAAAUUAGAGAAAAUGAAUCAUUCUGGAGCUAAACCGAAGAUUUGGAGCUGAAGAGACGAAUCCGGUUCGAACCAAGACAUUGGUGUCGACCGACACCCUUGGUGUCGCUCGACACCAUACGCGUCCCAGCAAGAACUCUCGACGGUUCAGAGUUUUAAAGCCCGCAGAAUUUACCCAGAAGAUUUCCCUAUUUGCAAUUUUGGUCCCUGCACGUUUUUGCGACAUCAUAAAUUGUUUUUAGGGUUUUUCUAUUUCAUUAUCUUGUCUUUGGCUUUGGUAAUCUUCUGAGUUUAAACCCUUUGGAAGAUAAUUGGAGAGACCAACUUUUCAGAGAUUCAAUACCUUGUUAGAGAGAAGAUUCAUUCUAAACUCUUUCUCUUUUUUAAUUUCUUAUUUUGCAAUUUAUUCAACAUGUUUUCUAUUUCAUUAAUCAUGUCUGAGUAAUCACCCUGUUAGGUUUAGGGAUUCUCAUUAGGGAUUUAGAUGAAUUAGUAAAUUGAUUACUUGUUAGGAUUAAUCUAUAGAGUUCUUCAUCUAGGUUGUUCUUAAUGCUUGUUCUAGAGUAGCUAACUAGAACCUGAAUUUAGGAUAAUAGGUAUUUGAUCCGAGAGGACACCUAUUACUGGAAUUACCUUAGAUGGGCCUGGUUUAUAGGUGUGUAAUAAGAAUCGGCCUAUCUACUAAAGUGAACAUAUCAAACCUGAAUUUAAUGCUAGUACUAGAUCUAGGAAUUCGCGUCGAGAGGUGGAAUUACUGAUAUUAGACUUGUUAGUUAGCGCAUCGAGAGGUGGUUAAUUAGUCAUUAGUGUUUUGAGUUCUAGAACGGUUCAGUAAAUAAUCCGAAUCAAUUUGCUAGAUGUACUAAUAGUUUAUUUCCUGAGAAUUUCUCUAAACCUAACGUUUUAAUUCAUUUAUCUUUUCACCUGAAAUCAUUGCUUGCUUUUGUUUUAUUUUAAUUCUAAUUAUCUUAUUUAGAAUAAUUUCGAAACUUAUAACUCAUUGUGUGAACAAAAAACUUUGUGGAAUUCGACCCCUAAGUGCUGCAAUUGACCUCUUAAUUUGAGAGAGUAGGCUUUAGGAUCAUUUUGACCUGUAUCAGCGGGAUAACGCGAUUUAGUGGAGUCGAACUCAUAUGUGGAAGAUGUAGUCAAAUGGACUUAACCACUUGACUAAAGGCACAUCCCCAAAAGCGUUUAUACUUAACAGAGUAACAAAAGUAAAUCUUUACAAAACAAACAUACCUACCAAUUUUUAGAUAACAAGUAUUUAAUUAUUGGGGGCAAUUUGUUACAUUCACAAAUUGGUGAACGUAAACGCAACAUAUGGAGUAAGAUUUGUAUAAGAGCAGAUUAUUGUCAUAAAUAUACAUUUUUGGAUUUUUAUAAAAAAAAUACUUGAACAAAUCAUUUAGCUUAGUUUAUAAUAAUCAUAUCAUAGUACUUAUGUUUACAGUUACACCUUUAAUUUUUUUUUUAAAACAUUAUUAGAAAUGUCGUCAAAAAAAUUACGUCGCAUUUAAACACAUAAAAUAAUGUUUAAAUGCUGCUUUAGUUGUUCUUUUUAAAUAAAAUUAACGAUAUUUUCAAUUCUGUUAUUAAUUAAAAUAAAAUUUUACAACUAGACUUGGAAACUAAUAUAAAAAUGUAAUAUGAUUUUUCUCUUUUAUUAUUGGUUGAACUGAAUAUAUGUGAAAACUCCUUAAAUGAAUGAGCAUAGUAUAUAAGUAGACAUAAAUAGUUUGAAGUAUGGUGAAAAAAAAGAACACUGCGUUGAGAAAAACCUUAGUGAAUACAAUACACAUUACAUUGUUCCAACUUCAAAACAAAGGCACUCUUAAACAAAACACAUAUAAUGAGAUAAUAAUACAAAAUCUCUUAAAACAUCAAACUUGCCAACCAAACAAAACCACCAUAUAGGAUAUUACUACUUAGUUAGGCGGCUUGAAGAACUUGAGCUUAAGUCCAUUGGUAACCAUACUCCAAAUCCCACCUAUGGAGAAUGCCAAGCUGAAUGCAACUCCCAACCAACCUAAUCCCCAGUGGAAAUACCAAUUGAAACUGUAUUUCGCCGGUUUCUUAAUCAAGACCCACAUGAAGCAAGGAUAAGCAAAUGUGACCGGGAGCGUGAGUCCACCGAGUAAACCCGCGAGACUAGAUAGGAAAGGGAGAGCAACACCGAUGAAAAACGAGACGAAACCGAAAAAGACUCGGAAACCUGAUCUGACCCAGAUCGAACACGGCUUGUUGGUUCUGCUUGUGUAGCCAGCCUCAAAGCUGUCAAAAGCCGGCAUAGAGUAUAUCUGAAAACUGCUCAGACAGCUGAAGACUACUAGGAGAAAUGCCGUCGCUAAUAAGCCUCUCGGAAUGUCGUGAAUGUGGAAUGCAUAUAAAGCAGCAAGCAUACCUCCUGAAGGCAUCUGUAAGACCAAGAAUAAUUUACAUAAACCAAUCGGAAACCGAGUCAAAGAUCAGGAAAUAAACUAUUUUGGUUUCUUAAAAUAUAAAUUCUUUGAUACAUUUUGCUUAAAAAUCCUAGGCCAAACCAUAAAUAAAUGAUAUUAGUGUUCCAUUCGGAUUCUAUAUUUCACAAACAUGAACAAAACACCAGAUUAAACAUCCUUUAUUGACAAGACAUAGACCAAGGAUAUAGUAAAUGGAACUUACAAGGUUCCCAUAAGCCCAAAAGCCUCCAAUGGAGAUUGGAAAGAUACACAGAGCAAUGAAGAAGUAAGAAAUUUUCGCUCCUCUCCACAUUGGUACAUGAGCUGGAUGCUUAAACGUUGAUGGCAUCGUCGACUACAAAGUGUUCAAAACUCAGAAUAAGUCACAAGUGACAAGUCAACAUGUGCAUUAUCUAUAGACAGAAACAUUUUGCAUUUUUACCUGAAUUUCCAGAACCAAGUUGUGACCUCUGAAGGCAAAAGCUAUAAUGCCAAGAGCAUUCAAAACAGCGAAGAGUGAACCAGAAGUCGAAGGCAUAGAAAGAGGCUCGUAUGAGAUAGUGGCUGGUCUUGGUUGGCUCACAGAGAGAACCCAAACCAUUGUGGAGUAAGUUAUUGCAGUCACUGCUCCUAUUAAGGAGAGUCCCGCAAUCGAAUUGAGGUUUGGAAGCUGAGACAGAACGAUGCACAGAGAUGUAAACACCAAAUACCAUUCGACUGUUGUUAACGGGUUCGAGGUGCAUAAUGGACCGCAAACUAUUUGGAAGAAGAGUUUCAUUGUCUCUCCACCAAUCAGAAUCAGCGCUGUCGCGGUUCCUGCUGAUAAGUAAACCGUAGGAAACAGUGCAAGCCAAACUCCCAACCUUUCUCCUGUUCCAAUCAAGAGUCCAAGACUUUAGCAAUAGCAGGACACAAAGUUAGUAUCAAUGAAACAAUUUCUUAUAACUCAAUUUGUUAUUUAUCUUCUUACCAAAUGCAGCUUGUGCAAGCUCGACAUAUCGAUUGUAGCGCUUCCCGGGGACAGCUUCGUGCAACUGAACUAGAAUCCACAGUGUGUAGAGUUGCCAACAAUAAGCUAUUGUCAAGGAUAGUAUUCCCCAACUCCUGUAACAACAAUAAUUCACUUCUUAAAUAACAAUCUUAAUUACUUGAUCGCAAUAACAAAUAUCCAUAACUAAGCUAAGCCAUUGAACUAACCAAUAAAAAUUCUCAACCUUAAAGCUGUAACAACUUAUUAUUUUAUUUUUUUGUCACCAAAACUAUAACAAGUUAUACUUCAAAUGUUUAAACUUGCAACAAUAAUGCAUAACGUUUUAUCCUUUUUGACUGUCAAUUACAUUAGUACCUACUAUAUACCAGAAAAAAGAAGAAUAAAUUAUAUAAUAAAUGUAAAUUUGCCGGAAAUUAACAAGAAACAAAAUAGACGAUAAAGAAGGCUCUGUCUUAAUCCAAAUUAAAGCAAAAAGUAUGUCUGUGAGUAUCCACAUGAGUAAUGAUGGAAGCAUGACAAAUUAAAGAAAAUAAGAAAACCAAAAUCUCUACUGCAAGAAUCUCAAUGUUUCCAAAGUUAAAAAAAAGUGAAUUAGUCAAUAUAUUAUUAUUUCCGACAAGAAAAAGAAAAAACAUUUUUGAUUUUUGCCCAAAAAUGUAAAGUAAACCCUGAAAUUGGAUCUGAACACUACAGAGAGUUGAACCCUCGCCGUUCACUAAUAAAAAAUAAUCUUGAAAAAAAGACUAAACACAAACUUCAAGAAAAAAACUCAAAAACAAGAAAAAUAUUUAUUGGAAAAAUCAAGAAAAACGCAAACGCACCAGCCAAGAAACGCAAACGCGACGGGAAGAACAAGGGCUUGGAAACCAACACCAGCGUUUAGAUUGUGAAACGCAGCGUAAUGAGCGUUUCCAUUACGAGACUCAGUGAUUGGAAGCCAAGCAUCUUGUGGGUUUAGCUUAGUAAGAUGACCAACUUCUUCAAGAUACCCUUUCAUGUUCACAAGAACUCGUUUCAUCGGUGUACCAAUCGGACUCAAGAACCUCGGAGAUAUGAAAGAAGUCGGAGUCCAUGUCGCCGACGAUGGUUUGGUGGCCGGACGAGGUGAUCUUUGACCGGAGGGAGUUAGAAUCUCCGGUGUUGAAACUCGUGGUGUCGCUGGUAUUGAUAUUAGCUCUGUCUCGGGUCUUUCGUCCAUUGGAGCAGGUGAAGAGUGCGAGAAGAAAUGAUGUUUUUUUUUUCUAAACUAUCACUCUCUCACUCACUCCCUAUUUAGAGGGGAUUGUUUUUAUUUUUAGGAUAACUUUAUUGGUAUUGAAACAAAUUUUUAUUUAAUUACAAAAAGAUGACAGAUUAAAACUAACGAAAUUACAAUUAAAUGACAAUGAAAGUUGAUAAUUAAAGAACAUGACAUGAUUAUUUAUAAUGGUGUAAAACAGUAACAAUUUUUUUGUAACAUUAGGACAAAAGUAACCUCUGCAUCAAUACAAAAGUUCUGAGCAUAUGUUUGUUUGACCAAUAAGUAUUAUGAUGGUGAGAUCAAAAUUUUGAACAUUAUGACCAACUUGUUUAUUCCUUUAGCAAAAAAUUGACAUGAAAAUAGGUGUUGAUGAUGACAAUUGUAACGCCCCGACCACCCUAUCAGUGAACAUCCACAUCCUCUCUCGGGCUUGUGGGCCCACGUCUGUCCGACAGUCGGUCCGCUAUGUCCGGUAGGCUUAAUGACUUGUUUACUGGACAAUGGACAUCUAAAAAAAUGUUUGGAUGAUUGAAGGUUUAGCGGACAUCUAAAAAAAUAGAUUAGGAGUUAGCUAUAUCUUCGUUUUUAUAAUGAGUAAAUAAAUACAAGUAUGAAAAAUAAAUUGAUCCACAUAAUUGUAAUAAGGUUCGGUCGUUCAACCUACAUUCAUGUAAUUGGAACUCGUCCAAAAGACAAAACAACUAGAAACAAAAAGCAAUCACACAAUUGCACACGCAUUUCAAGUCCAUCUCUUCCGAUAUACCAUUAUUUUCUAUGCGUGGACUCUUCAUAGUCAUACUAACUCUAAACUGAACUCUAUCCAAACCUAGAUUUUAGUCAUGCAGAACUCCGUAACACCGGAAACUCCGACGUAUAACCGUCUAACACCGACAGCCUCAAACUUCUCACAAUGUCUAUACAUAUAUUUUAUAAUACACUCUAGUGUGACAUUGACAUCAUGGUUUGACAUUUUUCUGUUCUGGUCGGUGUAAGACCAUCAGCAAUGGCAAAUGUGUUUGUGUGGAUGUAAGUAUUUUUUUAGUAUUAUAAUUUAAAGCAAAAGAGAAAAGAGAAAGAGAAAGAAAGAGAGAGAUAGAGAAAAAAAGUGUUACACCCGAGUAUAAACUUACACCCGGGUGUGAAGAGAGAGACAAUUUUUUUGUUUUUUUUAAUACUUACACCCCAAGACUCACACCCACCUGCUUACCCACUGCCACGCUCUAAGUCUUCAAAGUUCAAACAAUGGUCUCUUCCUAUUUAUAAUCAAGAGGCCUAAUAAAAAAACAGGCAACAACCAUUAUACAUGUUUUUUUUUGUCUUAAUUUCCAAAAAUUUCUUUUAUAAUCUAAUGUUCAUAGCUUCUUCUUCUCUCUAAAAAGAACAGCAGCCGCCGUGGUUUAGGGUUACGGUUCCGGUGGCUUUUUCAGCACCGGAACCGGGGUCUUUGUUUUUUCUUUGCUUUAGUUAUGUUUUAUCUUCCUUUCCAUCAUGUCUAAAUCCUUUUCUUCCAACGGUUUCAGAUUUAGAUUUUCAGAUCUAGAAUUAUAAAGUCUAAAUCUUUUCUCCUUUGAGUUUUGCUGCUUGUUUUAGUCUAUUUCAAUUGCAGCUUCAGUUCUGGCCGAUUCAACCAUGGCAGAGGCAGGUUCUAUUCGAUCCUUCACCGCCUUAGAUGUAGUUUUCUCACCUUCCAAGUUCUUGAUCUCCUUCCUUUCUUCAUGAGACUUUUCCUUUAGGUCUCGGGGUGUUGUUUUGUCUCACCGCCGUUCGUGGUAAGGAGAGUCUUGGAUUCAUUUCCGUUUGUGGGUUUCUUUGUCUCAGAUCUGGUUCUUUAUUUUCGAUUUAGACUUUGUAAUUUUAUUUUUGAGUCUUUGGAUCAUGAGUCUGGGAAGUUUUGGUUCAUAUGUGGUGUUUUUACUUGUUUUGGGUUUUUUCCCCUUUGGUUUUCCGUCAUUGUCUCCGGGAGUUUUCAUUUGCUCGCCGGCUUAGUUUCUGGAAGGAUUGUGUUCCUUGCCGGCUUUUGUAAUCCACCCUUUGUAAUCCAGCAGUGUAUUUCUAUCAAUGAAAUCUUUAUUUUCAGUGAAAAAAAAAAAAAAAAAUCUAAUGUGCAUAGCUUCAUUUUUCCAUGGUCCACUUAUUGGCCAUUUUGCUCAUAUCAUAUUCACGUGAUCAUCACUCAUUCUGGCUUCAUUAUCUCUACAUCACACAAAUGUUGUGUUAUGCUCUAAGUUAACUUCUUAUCUUAUCAACAAUUAAUUAAAACAGAAUCAAGAAGACUUCAGCAUCGUGGACUAUGAUGAUUCCUAGUGGUUCAGAAAAGUCAUCCGAAAGAGAUAAAAUGAAGUAGUGGAAUAUGAAUUAAAUGGUAGAUAGAGAGAAAAACAGUAUGGAGAGUAGAAAAAUCAUGAAAAAUAAGCUCUCUCUUCCUUAUUCCACCAACUUAGCUUACAUAACUAAUUUCGACACUUAUAGCGCAUUUGAUAUUGCAUGAUUUGGGUUAAGAAAACAUUCUUUUAGAUCCAGCUAAAUUCAAUAAUUCUCCUAAAAUGGAUUAUAAAACAUUCUUUUAGAUCCAGCUAAAUUCAAAUUCUCCUAAAAUCAUUUAGACAGAAAAAUAAAUUUUGUUAAAUCAAGCUAGAUUAAAAACAAAUUAUAACACCAGCUGAUACAUAAAUAUGUUUAGUUUAGAUAAAAUAGAUAUGAUAUGGUAAUUUGGAUAUAUAAAUAACAAUCCAAACGAAUAAAACUCAGGUUUGUGUUCGGGUAUUUCAGAUAAUUACGAAUCUGAAUAUAGAAAUCUUGUUUUUAGAAACUUUCUAUAAUUUUCAAAAUCUUUAAAUUUCUAUAUUUUAUUGCUUUAGGAACCUAGGUCAGAUUUGAGUUCAGAUAUUUUAAUUCUAACAUUUUCAAGUGUAUAUAGUAAUUAUAAGGGAGAUUUGGAAGGUUACAAUAACACUUCUGGAUUUAUGUUUCUAAUGGCUUGAAUAUAUGUCUCAUGGAAUUUAAGAAAACAAAAAUUGGUUGAAUUGUCAAUUACAUUAGCAAGAUAUGAUUGUGUAAUG
rnacentral:lncRNA from 1 species